UACGUAGGGUGCAAGCGUUGUCCGGAAUUAUUGGGCGUAAAGAGCUCGUAGGCGGCUUGUCACGUCGGAUGUGAAAGCCCGGGGCUUAACUCCGGGUCUGCAUUCGAUACGGGCUGGCUAGAGUGUGGUAGGGGAGAUCGGAAUUCCUGGUGUAGCGGUGAAAUGCGCAGAUAUCAGGAGGAACACCGGUGGCGAAGGCGGAUCUCUGGGCCAUUACUGACGCUGAGGAGCGAAAGCGUGGGGAGCAAACAGG
rnacentral:rRNA from 1 species